rnacentral:misc_RNA from 1 species
ACACUGGCUCGUGGUCUGCAAGU